ACUCAAAUGAAUAGACGGGGGCCCGCACAAGCAGCGGAGCAUGUGGUUUAAUUCGAAGCAACGCGAAGAACCUUACCAGGUCUUGACAUCGAGGCAAAGCCGUAGAGAUACGGUGUUCAGCAAUGAGGCCGAAGACAGGUGGUGCAUGGUUGUCGUCAGCUCGUGUCGUGAGAUGUUGGGUUAAGUCCCGCAACGAGCGCAACCCUUAUUGUCAGUUACUAACGGGUAAAGCCGAGGACUCUGACGAGACUGCCGGGGACAACUCGGAGGAAGGUGGGGACGACGUCAAAUCAUCAUGCCCCUUAUGACCUGGGCUACACACGUGCUACAAUGGUGGUAACAGAGAGGCGCGAGCUCGCAAGGGGGAGCGGAUCUCAAAAAAGCCAUCUCAGUUCGGAUUGUGGGCUGCAACCCGCCCACAUGAAGUUGGAGUUGCUAGUAAUCGCGGAUCAGCAUGCCGCGGUGAAUACGUUCCCGGGCCUUGCACACACCGCCCGU
rnacentral:rRNA from 1 species